UUCUUUUUUGGCUGGAGCUCCACAAUGCGAUAAGUGAUUAACAAAAAUGGAAGACUAUCACACACUAUCACAGAAAAAUUACACUAUCACAUAAAAUCACAGAUAACCAUGCUAAUACUGAAGUUGUUCUUUCAUUACUUAUAUGUUGUUUCUUGCACUGCUCCUUCUUCACAAUUACGCUGCCUCCUCAGUCUUUUUUUUUUUCCCAACUAUAUGAAAAAAAAAAAUCAUAAUAUUUCCUGGCAUGGUAGUAGCAAGGAUGUUAUAUACUUUCCUUAGGUAGUGGUGAUCGAGGGGCUGCAAUUUGUAACGGCUUCCAUUUAUGGUUGUAGAAUAUUAGUAAGUCUUGUUAUUGUCUUUUCUUGAUAUAUUUCGCUCUGCUGAUUUUUGUGAUGUUUUUUUUUCUUAUUUUUAACAUAAUUGCUCCCGUUAAGAUUACAAAGGGAGGAAGCGGUCUGACCAUCCUGACGUCACAUUCGACAGACGACCUUCCGCGAGCGUUGAAGUGCGUACUGCUACUCUGUGCCAUUUAUUUUAUUUUUCGGCAUAGCACCUGUCUGCUCGUCACAUGAGUGUAUAGAAAGAAAUUAUGGUGAUUCUACCUCCUUCCACAGUGGUGGCGUGGCCGUGGCGUGAGUGCCCUCAACGAGUCGUGCUGCUGUGUGAAGAAAUCGCGCGCCAAGGCAAGUGUUGUAUCUUGCCAGGGGAGCGUAGGGCGCCAAUUUCACAGGCAGAAAUUACCAGUAUCGUGCGCCAUCAUGCCGGAUUGGAAGAGAGCAAGGAACAAUGGAUUAACUUGAGAAGAAUGCGAAGUGGAAGGUGCCGCCUAGUUACGUGUGCAUGGUGAAGAGGCUGAUUGAUGCCAUGCACAAAUAUAAUACGUAUGAACAUUUAAGGG